rnacentral:lncRNA from 1 species
GUUUAAUUUAAAAAGCAAAUCAAAGCUGAGGAGUGGUGGCCCAUGUCUUUAAUCUCAGCACUUGGGAGGCAGGCAAUCUCUGUGAAUUUGAGGCCAGCCUGGUCUACAGAGCUGAAAAAAAUUAAAGAGAAAAAAAUUAAAAUUUCUUAUGCAUACUACUCAAAUAACAUUUGUAAAUACCAAUAUAGAUACUGUAAGUUGAAAUCAUCAUCUCAUGUUGCUGCCAUAACUUAAGAUUUUGAGUAAACUCUUGGUGCUUGAACCUAAAAUGUAAGAAACUUCAAAGUAAGUGAUAGUGUCCAAAUACAAAGUUUUGAAGAUGUAACUGUGAGUUAUAUAUGCAGUUAUGUCCUCCCCUACAUUUUUUUCCCCCUUCAAGACAGGGUUUCUUUGUAUAAUCACUCUGGCUGUCCUGGAAUAUAGUCUGUACAAGGCUGGCCUUGAACCCCUGCCUCUGCCUCUCAGUGAUGGAAUUAAAGGUGUGGACCACCACCACCCAGCAAAUGUGUAGCCCAAGUUGGCCUGGAAUUCGUGAUCCUCCUGCUUCCUCCUCUUCCUUCAGCAAAUCCUACUGACAUGGGCCCUUCUCAGUAUUCUUGUCCUUUGUGAGCUUUGUAGCUUUUAAGUUUAAAACACAUUAAACUGUUUCAAAUAUGACUUUUUUUUUGUAAUAAUGGAUUAAGGUAGAAUGAAAUGUGGGAAUGUAGAACCUAAACUAAGGGAGGUGAAAACCAGGUGGUGAUAAAAUGUAGAACCUCUAGCUUGAAGACCAGAGUCCCAUCGGCUACUGGACAGCUGUGCAUUCUUCAUUCAUGGGUUCUUUGGCAGGAGCAGCAGGGCACUCGUAUCUAAAAAGAAAAGUAUGUCUGAAAUACAUUCAUAUCAGUAAUUAUGAUAAGUUAAUUCUUACCUUUAAAUGUAUGUUUAAUUUAUCUUUAGGUUUGCUUUAAUUUCCUAGGAGUCAUGCAGAUUUUUUCUAAAAAUAACAGCACUUUUAGGGGAUUAAAUUUAGAUUUCCUGUUUAUAUCCUCAGUGCUGAAUCAAUAUUUUAUGAAAUUACAGUCAGGAGCUCUUCCAUGGUACUGACAUGUGAUGUAUUGUAUACUGCUUUCCCUUCUUUAGGAUUCCAGACUGGGAUGUGAGAAGGCAUGGAAAAGCUUUAGGUAACUAGUAGCUGGGAAGAGGUAGAAAAGGUUGUCAGGCAUACUCCUUUUAAAAGGGGAGGUUUUUUUUGUUUUUGUUUUUGUUUUUUUAAUAAGACUUCAAAAUAAAUUCACAAAUUUUACAUUACACAAAAUUAAGGAAAAAAAUAAAAGAGAGGCUUGUAGCAUGUAAAAUAAGACUCAGAGACAGAUAUUGGGGUUCAAGCUUCAAACUGAAGAUCAGAGAAGCAAAGCAGUCAAACCAGUAUUUUACCUCUAUCCAGCUGAAAUGGCAGUCCUGUCUCCACAAAUCCUCAGAGGCAAAAAGGCUCUGAAUUCCUGCUUCUCCUCCUUUUAUUCCUUUCUCUGCCCAGCCAUAUCACUGCUGUUUACACCUCCCCAGUGCUGGGAUUAAAGGCAUGUGAUCCCAGGUGCUGAGAACACAUUUGUGUGAGUUGUUUCUUUUAAGACUGUAGUCAGUGUGGCCUUGAACUAACGGAGAUCCUUCUACUUUUUAGUCCUGAGUCCUGGGAUUACAGGUGUGUGCCACCAGUACCCAGCUUCUAUAGCUAACUAGUAUGGCUGCCUUGCUAUUUUGAUCUCCAGUGGCUUUAAUAAAUCAUAAGCAAUAUAUCAUCAUAGAAGCUAGGAGUGAUCAAAAACGGGUGUGUUAAAUCUGUGGAAUAAAGCUAGCCCAAGGAUUGAAGGAUAAUUUUACAUUCAGAAGUCUAUAGUAUCAUUUACACUAUAUUAAUAAGGAAGACCAGUUUAGUUGAAGAAAAACAAAUAGAUAUGAGUAUUAUUCCCUAGUGAGUGCAUCUUUGAUGACAGGGUUACUAAUAGAGGCUUUAGCUAUUGGAAUGUUAGAAGCUAAAGAAACAAUGUAAGGCUGGAGAGAUUGCUUAGUGGUUAGUAGCAAUUAUUUAUUAUUCUCCGCAUGUUAGGAAACUCACAACCACGUGUAACUCCAGCUCUGGAGGGAUCUGAUGCCUCUGGCCUCCAUGGAUACUGACAGGAACACAUACACAUAAUUUAAGAGUAAAUCUUUGCUUUAAAAAUAUGUGUGUGUGUCACUUUUUUUUUUUUUUUCCAUUUGAG